rnacentral:rRNA from 1 species
ACAACCCGUCAUUCUGAAGGAAUGACAUCUUGCAUAGCAAGAGGCUAACGCAGGGAACUGAAACAUCUUAGUACCUGUAGGAAAAGAAAAUAAUAAUGAUUCCCCUAGUAGUGGCGAGCGAACGGGGAUUAGCCCAAACCAAUGUUGUUACGGCAAUAUUGGGGUUGUAGGACCACGAUGUCGCAAGAAAUUUAGUGAGAAGAACCCUUUGGAAAAUGGGACCAUAGACGGUGAUAGUCCGGUAUUCGAAGCUAAAUGAAGCGUAGUGGUAUCCUGAGUAGCGCGGGACACGAGGAAUCUUGCGUGAAUCUGCCGGGACCAUCCGGUAAGGCUAAAUACUCCCGAGAGACCGAUAGCGAACCAGUACUGUGAAGGAAAGGUGAAAAGCACUUCGAAUAGAAGAGUGAAAUAGUCCCUGAAACCGUGCGCCUACAAGCGGUCGGAGCUGCUUCAGCAGUGACGGCGUGCCUUUUGCAUAAUGAACCUACGAGUUACUUUUUCCGGCAAGGUUAAGGAUCUUGAGAUCCGCAGCCGAAGCGAAAGCGAGUCUUAACAGGGCGAUUAGUCGGAAGGAGUAGACGCGAAACCAAGUGAUCUACCCUUGGUCAGGUUGAAGGUUAGGUAACACUAACUGGAGGACCGAACCGAUAAGCGUUGAAAAGCUUCCGGAUGAACUGAGGGUGGGGGUGAAAGGCUAAUCAAACUUGGAGAUAGCUCGUACUCCCCGAAAUGCAUUUAGGUGCAGCCUUGGGAAUUACUACUGUGAGGUAGAGCGACUGAUAAGAUGCGAGGGCUUCACCGCCUAUCAAGUCUUGAUAAACUCCGAAUGCGCAGUAGUUCGAUCCCAGGAGUGAGGGCAUGGGUGCUAAGGUCCAUGUCCUAAAGGAGAAGAAUCCGGACCAUCAGCUAAGGUCCCGAAAUAAUUGCUAAGUUGAACUAACGAAGUCAGAUUGCUAAGACAGCUAGGAUGUUGGCUUGGAAGCAGCCAUUCAUUUAAAGAGUGCGUAACAGCUCACUAGUCGAGGAGUUUGGCGUGGAUAAUAAUCGGGCAUUAAGCAAUUUACCGAAGCUAUGGGAUCAGUAAUGAUCGGUAGGGGAGCAUUCCACUCUGCGUCGAAGGUGAAGCGUGAGCUUUGCUGGAGCGUGUGGAAAAGCAAAUGUAGGUAUAAGUAACGAUAAAGGGGGUGAGAAACCCCCUCGCCGAAAGACUAAGGUUUCCUGAUCAACGCUAAUCGGAUCAGGGUUAGUCGGGUCCUAAGGCUCAGCCGAACGGUGAGGCCGAUGGCAGAACAGGUUAAUAUUCCUGUACUACCUUAAGGAGUGACGUGGAGACGGAGCAGUGAUAGCGCCGCGGACUGACGGAAUAGUCCGUUGAAGGGUGUAGAUGUUGAUCUUUGCAGGCAAAUCCACAAAGAGAGUCGAACCUGAUAGUAUACCAAAUUCUUCGGAAUAAGGUAAUAGUGCGUGUAAGCAUACUCCCAAGAAAAUCCGCUAAACUUAAUCUUUAAGGUACCCGUACCGCAAACGGACACACGUAGUCGGGUUGAAUAUACUAAGGCGCUUGAGUGAUUCACGGUUAAGGAACUAGGCAAAUUGACCCUGUAACUUCGGGAUAAAGGGUCCCAACGAGAGUUGGGCGCAGAGAAUAGGUCCAGGCAACUGUUUAACAAAAACACAGGGCUGUGCCAAAUUGAAAGAUUACGUAUACAGCCUGACACCUGCCCGGUGCUGGAAGGUUAAGAGGAGAUGUCAUCGCAAGAGAAGCAUUGAAUUGAAGCCCCAGUAAACGGCGGCCGUAACUAUAACGGUCCUAAGGUAGCGAAAUUCCUUGUCGGGUAAGUUCCGACCUGCACGAAUGGUGUAAUGAUCUGGACACUGUCUCAACCGUGAGCUCAGUGAAAUUGUAGUAUCGGUGAAGAUGCCGAUUACCCGCGAUGGGACGAAAAGACCCCGUGAACCUUUACUAUAGCUUAACAUUGAAUUUGGGUAAUUGAUGUGUAGGAUAGGCCGGAGACUUCGAAGCAGGUACGCCAGUAUUUGUGGAGUCGCUGUUGAAAUACGGCCCUUUGAUUAUUUGAGUUCUAACUCGUAGAUGCGAGGACACUGUUUGGUGGGUAGUUUGACUGGGGUGGUCGCCUCCAAAAGUGUAACGGAGGCUUCUAAAGGUGCCCUCAGGACGAUUGGUAACCGUCCGUAGAGUGUAAUGGCAUAAGGGCGCUUGACUGGGAGACAGACAAGUCGAUCAGGUAGGAAACUAGAGCAUAGUGAUCCGGUGUUUCCGCAUGGAAGGGACAUCGCUCAAAGGAUAAAAGGUACUCCGGGGAUAACAGGCUGAUCCCUCCCAAGAGCUCAUAUCGACGGAGGGGUUUGGCACCUCGAUGUCGGCUCGUCACAUCCUGGGGCUGGAGAAGGUCCCAAGGGUUGGGCUGUUCGCCCAUUAAAGUGGCACGCGAGCUGGGUUCAGAACGUCGUGAGACAGUUCGGUCUCUAUCUAUCGUGGGCGUAUGAAAUUUGCGUGGCUCUGACACUAGUACGAGAGGACCGUGUUGGACUGACCGCUGGUUUACCAGUUGUGCCGCCAGGUGCAUCGCUGGGUAUCUAAGUCGGGAUUGGAUAAGUGCUGAAAGCAUCUAAGUACGAAGCCAGCCACAAGAUUAGAUUUCUUAGGGUCGUUAAAGACGAUGACGUUGAUAGGAUGCAGGUGUAAAGGUGGUAACAUCAAAGCCGAGCAUUACUAAUUGCCCGUUCACUUUCUUU